rnacentral:rRNA from 1 species
GAUGAACGCUGGCGGCGUGCCUAGUACAUGCAAGUCGAGCGAACGGACGAGAAGCUUGCUUCUCUGAUGUUAGCGGCGGACGGGUGAGUCACACGUGUAUAACCUACCUAUAAGACUGGGAUAACGUCGCGAAACCUGAGCUAACACCGGAUAAUAUUUUGAACCGCAUGGUUCAAAAGUGAAAGCCGUUCUAGCUGUCACUUAUAGAUGGAUCCGCGCUGCAUUAGCUAGUUGGUAAGGUAACGGCUUACCAAGGCAACGAUGCAUAGCCGACCUGAGAGGGUGAUCGGCCACACUGGAACUGAGACACGGUCCAGACUCCUACGGGAGGCAGCAGUAGGGAAUCUUCCGCAAUGGGCGAAAGCCUGACGGAGCAACGCCGCGUGAGUGAUGAAGGUCUUCGGAUCGUAAAACUCUGUUAUUUGGGAAGAACAUAUGUGUAAGUAACUGUGCACAUCUUGACGGUACCUAAUCAGAAAGCCACGGCUAACUUCGUG